rnacentral:rRNA from 1 species
UGCGCAGACGGUUGGGUGCGUCAGAUGUGAAAUCCCGAGGCUCAACCUCGGAACUGCGUCUGAAACUACUCGACUAGAGUACUGGAGAGGGUAACGGAAUUCACGGUGUAGCAGUGAAAUGCGUAGAUAUCGUGAGGAACACCAGAGGCGAAGGCGGUUACCUGGACAGUUACUGACGCUCAGGCACGAAAGCAUGGGGAGCAAAAG